UUAAGCGACUAAGCGUACACGGUGGAUGCCCUGGCAGUCAGAGGCGAUGAAGGACGUGCUAAUCUGCGAAAAGCGUCGGUAAGGUGAUAUGAACCGUUAUAACCGGCGAUGUCCGAAUGGGGAAACCCAGUGUGAUUCGUCACACUAUCGUUAACUGAAUACAUAGGUUAACGAGGCGAACCGGGGGAACUGAAACAUCUAAGUACCCCGAGGAAAAGAAAUCAACCGAGAUUCCCCCAGUAGCGGCGAGCGAACGGGGAGCAGCCCAGAGUCUGAAUCAGCUUGUGUGUUAGUGGAACGGUCUGGAAAGUCCGACGGUACAGGGUGAUAGUCCCGUACACCAAAAUGCACAGGCUGUGAACUCGAAGAGUAGGGCGGGACACGUGGUAUCCUGUCUGAAUAUGGGGGGACCAUCCUCCAAGGCUAAAUACUCCUGACUGACCGAUAGUGAACCAGUACCGUGAGGGAAAGGCGAAAAGAACCCCGGCGAGGGGAGUGAAAAAGAACCUGAAACCGUGUACGUACAAGCAGUGGGAGCACCUUCGGGUGUGACUGCGUACCUUUUGUAUAAUGGGUCAGCGACUUAUAUUCUGUAGCAAGGUUAACCGUAUAGGGGAGCCGCAGGGAAACCGAGUCUUAACUGGGCGUUAAGUUGCAGGGUAUAGACCCGAAACCCGGUGAUCUAGCCAUGGGCAGGUUGAAGGUUGGGUAACACUAACUGGAGGACCGAACCGACUAAUGUUGAAAAAUUAGCGGAUGACUUGUGGCUGGGGGUGAAAGGCCAAUCAAACCGGGAGAUAGCUGGUUCUCCCCGAAAGCUAUUUAGGUAGCGCCUCGUGAAUUCAUCUUCGGGGGUAGAGCACUGUUUCGGCUAGGGGGUCAUCCCGACUUACCAACCCGAUGCAAACUACGAAUACCGAAGAAUGUUAUCACGGGAGACACACGGCGGGUGCUAACGUCCGUCGUGAAGAGGGAAACAACCCAGACCGCCAGCUAAGGUCCCAAAGUCAUGGUUAAGUGGGAAACGAUGUGGGAAGGCACAGACAGCCAGGAUGUUGGCUUAGAAGCAGCCAUCAUUUAAAGAAAGCGUAAUAGCUCACUGGUCGAGUCGGCCUGCGCGGAAGAUGUAACGGGGCUAAACCAUGCACCGAAGCUGCGGCAGCGACACUAUGUGUUGUUGGGUAGGGGAGCGUUCUGUAAGCCUGCGAAGGUGUGCUGUGAGGCAUGCUGGAGGUAUCAGAAGUGCGAAUGCUGACAUAAGUAACGAUAAAGCGGGUGAAAAGCCCGCUCGCCGGAAGACCAAGGGUUCCUGUCCAACGUUAAUCGGGGCAGGGUGAGUCGACCCCUAAGGCGAGGCCGAAAGGCGUAGUCGAUGGGAAACAGGUUAAUAUUCCUGUACUUGGUGUUACUGCGAAGGGGGGACGGAGAAGGCUAUGUUAGCCGGGCGACGGUUGUCCCGGUUUAAGCAUGUAGGCUGGUUGUCCAGGCAAAUCCGGAUAAUCAAGGCUGAGGUGUGAUGACGAGGUACUACGGUGCUGAAGUAACAAAUGCCCUGCUUCCAGGAAAAGCCUCUAAGCAUCAGGUAACAUCAAAUCGUACCCCAAACCGACACAGGUGGUCAGGUAGAGAAUACCAAGGCGCUUGAGAGAACUCGGGUGAAGGAACUAGGCAAAAUGGUGCCGUAACUUCGGGAGAAGGCACGCUGGUGUGUAGGUGAAGUCCCUGCGGAUGGAGCUGAGACCAGUCGAAGAUACCAGCUGGCUGCAACUGUUUAUUAAAAACACAGCACUGUGCAAACACGAAAGUGGACGUAUACGGUGUGACGCCUGCCCGGUGCCGGAAGGUUAAUUGAUGGGGUUAUCCGUAAGGAGAAGCUCUUGAUCGAAGCCCCGGUAAACGGCGGCCGUAACUAUAACGGUCCUAAGGUAGCGAAAUUCCUUGUCGGGUAAGUUCCGACCUGCACGAAUGGCGUAAUGAUGGCCAGGCUGUCUCCACCCGAGACUCAGUGAAAUUGAACUCGCUGUGAAGAUGCAGUGUACCCGCGGCAAGACGGAAAGACCCCGUGAACCUUUACUAUAGCUUGACACUGAACAUUGAGCCUUGAUGUGUAGGAUAGGUGGGAGGCUUUGAAGCGUGGACGCCAGUCUGCGUGGAGCCAACCUUGAAAUACCACCCUUUAAUGUUUGAUGUUCUAACGUUGGCCCCUUACCGGGGUUGCGGACAGUGUCUGGUGGGUAGUUUGACUGGGGCGGUCUCCUCCCAAAGCGUAACGGAGGAGCACGAAGGUUAGCUAAUCCUGGUCGGACAUCAGGAGGUUAGUGCAAUGGCAUAAGCUAGCUUGACUGCGAGCGUGACGGCGCGAGCAGGUGCGAAAGCAGGUCAUAGUGAUCCGGUGGUUCUGAAUGGAAGGGCCAUCGCUCAACGGAUAAAAGGUACUCCGGGGAUAACAGGCUGAUACCGCCCAAGAGUUCAUAUCGACGGCGGUGUUUGGCACCUCGAUGUCGGCUCAUCACAUCCUGGGGCUGAAGUAGGUCCCAAGGGUAUGGCUGUUCGCCAUUUAAAGUGGUACGCGAGCUGGGUUUAGAACGUCGUGAGACAGUUCGGUCCCUAUCUGCCGUGGGCGCUGGAGAAUUGAGGGGGGCUGCUCCUAGUACGAGAGGACCGGAGUGGACGCAUCACUGGUGUUCGGGUUGUCAUGCCAAUGGCACUGCCCGGUAGCUAAAUGCGGAAGAGAUAAGUGCUGAAAGCAUCUAAGCACGAAACUUGCCCCGAGAUGAGUUCUCCCUGAGACUUUAAGUCUCCUGAAGGAACGUUAAAGACGAUGACGUUGAUAGGCCGGGUGUGUAAGCGCAGCGAUGCGUUGAGCUAACCGGUACUAAUGAACCGUGAGGCUUAACCU
rnacentral:rRNA from 1 species